rnacentral:rRNA from 1 species
AUUGAACGCUGGCGGCAGGCCUAACACAUGCAAGUCGAGCGGAUGACGGGAGCUUGCUCCUUGAUUCAGCGGCGGACGGGUGAGUAAUGCCUAGGAAUCUGCCUGGUAGUGGGGGACAACGUUUCGAAAGGAACGCUAAUACCGCAUACGUCCUACGGGAGAAAGCAGGGGACCUUCGGGCCUUGCGCUAUCAGAUGAGCCUAGGUCGGAUUAGCUAGUUGGUGGGGUAAUGGCUCACCAAGGCGACGAUCCGUAACUGGUCUGAGAGGAUGAUCAGUCACACUGGAACUGAGACACGGUCCAGACUCCUACGGGAGGCAGCAGUGGGGAAUAUUGGACAAUGGGCGAAAGCCUGAUCCAGCCAUGCCGCGUGUGUGAAGAAGGUCUUCGGAUUGUAAAGCACUUUAAGUUGGGAGGAAGGGCAGUAAGUUAAUACCUUGCUGUUUUGACGUUACCGACAGAAUAAGCACCGGCUAACUCUGUGCCAGCAGCCGCGGUAAUACAGAGGGUGCAAGCGUUAAUCGGAAUUACUGGGCGUAAAGCGCGCGUAGGUGGUUUGUUAAGUUGGAUGUGAAAGCCCCGGGCUCAACCUGGGAACUGCAUCCAAAACUGGCAAGCUAGAGUACGGUAGAGGGUGGUGGAAUUUCCUGUGUAGCGGUGAAAUGCGUAGAUAUAGGAAGAAACACCAGUGGCGAAGGCGACCACCUGGACUGAUACUGACACUGAGGUGCGAAAGCGUGGGGAGCAAA